GGGCACUUGGUCUAGGGGUAUGAUUUGUAAGCAACACCUUGUUUCCUCAGAAAGUUCUCAGUACUAAUAAUGUAACAGUCGCUUCGCAUCAAUUGAUCGCAUCUGUGAAAGGUCGUGGGUUCAAUUCCCACAGUGUCCA